AAUGCACCAAUUUGUAAGUCGCUCUGGAUAAGAGCAUCUGAUAAAUGACGUAAA
rfam:Salmo salar isolate Sally breed double haploid chromosome ssa06, whole genome shotgun sequence.